UACGGGGGGGGCAAGCGUUGUUCGGAAUUACUGGGCGUAAAGGGCUCGUAGGCGGCCAACUAAGUCAGACGUGAAAUCCCUCGGCUUAACCGGGGAACUGCGUCUGAUACUGGAUGGCUUGAGUGUGGGAGAGGGAUGCGGAAUUCCAGGUGUAGCGGUGAAAUGCGUAGAUAUCUGGAGGAACACCGGUGGCGAAGGCGGCAUCCUGGACCAUUACUGACGCUGAGGAGCGAAAGCGUGGGGAGCAAACAGG
rnacentral:rRNA from 1 species